rnacentral:lncRNA from 1 species
CCUCAGGUAUCACAAUGCUUCAAAGAAUUGGCACUGGAAUUUUUCUAUCUAUAUUCACAGUAGUGGUUGCAGCCUUUGUUGAGAUGAAAAGACUAAAGAUAGCACAAGAGCAUGGUCUUGUUGAUGAUCCAAAUGCAACUGUUCCAAUGAGUAUAUGGUGGUUGGUUCCUCAAUACUUUUUGUUUGGAGUAUCUGAGGUUUUUACUAUUGUUGGUGUUCAGGAAUUUUUCUAUGAUCAAGUCCCAAAUGAACUAAGAAGCAUGGGACUUGCACUCUAUUUGAGUAUUAUUGGUGUUGGAAGCUUUCUAAGUNUUUUUUACCACAUAAUAUUUUAAACGUUUUACCACAUGUUAGUAUUGGCAAAAGUUAUGGUGCAUAAACCAUUUCCUUAUGCACCGUGCAUAAACACAUCACAACCAUCAGAUUUCUUUCAUUUUGAACAAAAAUGGUUUUGGCUCACUUUUGGGGUGUAGGAAGCAAUUAUGUUGGGAUUUAUGCACGGUGCAUAAGGAUUUCCUUAUGCACCAUAACCACUCCCGUUAGUAUUGUAGAAUUAUCUCCUUAACAAAAGUAUUGUAGCAUUAUCACUCUAUAACUAUAAAAGUUACUCAGACCGAAAGAUUUAAGUUACGCAAGGGUAUUUUUGUCUUUUCAGUUGGGAGUGAGAAAUAUUUGUUGCAAGAAGAGCAAUUUUCUUAGGAAUAUGUAACAUGCAUAGAGAAGAGUGUUUUUUUUUUCAUCUGAUAAGAUGAACAAUUCCAGAUAUUUGUACUUUAAUGGCAUCCCCUCCAUCCAUGGAACAUCCCAAAGUAUCUAACGUAAUUUCUUCUCCAUUUCCAAUCUCUCUUCUUAGACUUUUCGAAGACCAAUUCGACGUAACUCCCCACACCACUAUCUCUAAAGUAUCUACAUCUUUCCUUCAUGCUGCACAAAAUCUCCCAUAUUAAUGCGGAUAUUUACUCACCAAAACUCUAAACCUCAAACUGUUUUUUCCGGUAAGAAUUCGCCAUUCCCAUUUUCCCAUAAGUGAUACAAUAAAUGUAUUAGAAUGAAGCCACCCUCAUCGUUUUCUCGACACACUUUUUCUCAAUGUAUCAAAUUAUUUUUAAAUUUUAAAAAAGCACUAUAUUAGAAUGAACCCACCCUCAUCUUUUUCUCGACACACUUUGUCUCAAUGUAUCAAAUUAUUUUUAAAUUUAAAAAAAGCAAUUAAAGUUUAUAAACUAUUAUCAUCAGUGUUAUCUAUCCGAUGUGGAACUUAGGUUUUUCCCAAUACAAUCCCUCACACCCAACACUCUCUUUGGGCUUGGUGCGUGGAUAGGUAGAUGACUCUUGAAUUCGACAAACUCUGAUAUCAUGUUAGAAAUCGUGGUUAAGCCUAACAAAAUCGGUUUCCACAUUCCUUCUCUCGCAGGAUCUCCCCCAAUUGGUAGAACCAAAUAUUUAAGGCUUAAUAGCAGUUUUGCCCUCCUAAAUAUCAGAAAGUUGCGAUUUUGCCCCCUGACAAAAUAAAAUACAAUCGAGCCCUCUACGUGUGUAAUUAUGUUAAUUUUAUUUAUUAUAAAAAAUAAUUUAAUUAUUAAAAAAAUAAUUUUUUUUUUAUUUUUCUAAUUAAAAAAAAAAUUACACAACGUCCACUUCAGCAUUGAUUUGGUCAAAAUUGACCUGAGGGACCAAAACUGCAAAAGGGAUGGUUCUUAGGGGGCUGGAUUGUAUUUUAUUUUGUUAGGAAGCCAAAAUCGUAACUUGCUGAUACAUUAGGCCAAAACUGCUAUUAAGCCAAUAUUUAAAUGACAAACUACCAACUUUGAAAUUUAUCACACAUGUUGCCUCUACUUUCGAUGUAUGAUGUAUAUUUACACCCAUUAGAACGUUUUUACGAAAGUUUCCCAUCAAUCUAGACACUAAUUCAAACACUUGCAAAAUUGCCUUAUAAUCACCUGUUUUUCCAACUUUUCUUCACCACAAUCUUUGUGUCGUUGCAAUGUUGUAAGUGUGGUAUAGUCACUUCAUCUAUACCAAACUGGAUAACGGCUAUCCUUGUCUGAUUCCCCUUCUCGCCGGAAACUCUUUUGCAAGUCUUCCAUUCAUCAAAACAGACAUGGAAGUAGUGGGAAGACAUUCAGAUAUCCAAAACCAGUCACAAGUUAUCAUUGACUCAUUGUUUUAAUGAAUUGCAGGGACUAGGCUUGUUAACGUUGUCGGCUAUGCUGCCUUCCAUCACAUUUUGUUCUCCUCAGUCACAAGUUAUCUUAUUCUUCAUCUCACUCUAUCUAAUUGCCAUUGGACAAGGUGGACAUAAACCUUGUGUUCAAGCUUUCGGGGCGGAUCAAUUUGACGAAAAACAUCCUAAGGAACAUAGAGCUAGAAGCUCAUUCUUUAAUUGGUGGUAUUUUACAAUGGUUGCAGGUGCCUCGGCAACACUUUUAAUCUUGAGUUAUAUACAAGAUAACUAUAGUUGGGUUGUUGGAUUUGGAAUACCUUGUGUUGUUAUGAUCAUUGCUUUGAUUGUUUUCUUGAUUGGAACUAUCACAUAUAGGUUUAACAUCAAUGAUAAUAACAAGAGUCCCUUUCUUAGAAUUGGUCGUGUAUUCGUCGUGGCUGCAAGAAAUUGGAAAAAUACCUUAUCAACAACGGAUAUUGAAGAGGAACAUGAUGGACUACUUCGCCGCCAUCAAAGUUCUGAACAAGUCAAGUAAGAAUAACAAUGCUAAUUUCUGUUUGUUUUUCAAUUCUAUAUCUAGCAAGUGAUUCUUAAAGCAGCAAAUAUGAUGAAAUACUUAAUUAUAGGACUCAUGUUGAAUUCGUCUUUGGAGUUUUAUGAAAUGCAUUCUAUGAAACAUAUUAUAGUAACGGUUACACUGUAGUAAUCAAUUCGAGCAUUGAACUUAAUUCUCAUUGUUGAUUAUUGUGGUUGCCAUCUCGAAGCAUCUCGAAGCAAUUUACGGUAUAUAUAAGAUAUAAAAGUUAGUUAUACUGACAAGUUAGUUACACCAGUUUUUCAUUAUCAAUAUAAUUUGCAUUUUACUUUCGUCUUAUCAGUAACUUUUCUCAAGAAUAUAAUAAUAUGGUAUCAUACAGCCCGGUUACAACCAAGUGAUUAUAUAUAAGCGAUUCCUAUCAAAAAAGAUAAAAUAAUGUCAAAAUAUUUUCAUAUAUAUGCUAAAACUGGUUUCAUAAGUUAUCUGGACGUCCUUAUGGAAAUAUACUGAAAACAACUUAUGGAUUUGUCAUAAACUAUUUUGACUUGGCCUAUAUUUUCUACAUUUGUAGCUUCCUCAAUAAGGCAUUGCUAACACCAAAGGGAUCCAAAGAUGCUGAUCAUUGUAGCCUUGGUGAGGUGGAAGAAGCAAAGGCAGUACUAAGUUUGAUUCCAAUUUGGGCUACAUCUUUAGUUUAUGGUAUUAUCUUUGCUCAAAUAUUUACAUUCUUCACCAAACAAGGGAGUUCUUUGGAGAGAACAAUAUUUCCUGGUUUCAACAUACCUCCCGCUUCUCUUGGAUCAAUAGGUGGUGUUGCUAUUGUUCUCUUCACUCCUAUCUACGACCGUUUAUUCGUGCCACUAGCAAGAGUUAUAACUGGAAAGUCCUCAGGUAUUACAAUGCUUCAAAGAAUUGGCACUGGAAUUUUUCUAUCUAUAUUCACAGUAGUACUUGCAGCCUUUGUUGAGAUGAAAAGACUAAAGAUAGCACAAGAGCAUGGUCUUGUUGAUGAUCCAAACGCAAUUGUUCCAAUGAGUAUAUGGUGGUUGGUUCCUCAAUACUUUUUGUUUGGAGUUUCAGAGGUUUUUACUAUGGUUGGUCUUCAGGAAUUUUUCUAUGAUCAAGUCCCAAAUGAACUAAGAAGCAUGGGACUUGCACUCUAUUUGAGUAUUAUUGGUGUUGGAAGCUUUCUAAGUGGCUUUCUAAUUUCUUUGAUAGAACAUUUUAGUGGCAAAGAUGGACAUGAUAGUUGGUUUUGUGACAAUAUCAAUAAGACACAUCUUGAUUACUUUUAUUGGCUACUUUCUGGAUUAAGUGUCAUUGGGUUUACUUUGUUCAUUUACUUUGCAAAAUCUUACAUUUAUAAUCAUAAAGGUGUCAUCACACAAGGAUAGGCACCGAUUAUUUUUUGUUUUAUGUCAUAUAUGUAUUGAAGGGAGCUUUGGUAAUGCAUGAUAAGAGAUUAAGGUCUAAUUAAUUUUUGUGAGUAUAGCCUAAUACACCUUGCUUCAAAAACGUGGAACUAUGAUGUCAUAUGUAACGAGUUCGGGUAUGCUCCAUUUAGGCAAAGCUUCAUUUACUCCAUUUAGGGUUUAGAUGCAAGAUAUGUGGCAAAAAAAUAUUCAACGGUUGAGAUUUUAAAUUAAAAAACAAAUAUUUGUUUAAUAGAAAUACAUAAUAAUAAUAACAAACAAAUCAUGUCCCCUUCUUCUCUCAUGUCGCAACAAUCUUUUAUUGUUUUUUAAUUUAAAAUCUCAACCGUUAGAUAUUUUUUUGCCACAUGUCUUGCAUCCAAACCCUAAAUGAAAUAAAUGGAGCUACCUGAACUCAUACCUAACACCCCAAAUUUCUAUUUAAUUAAUUUGGUGAGGUUAAACAAGUGGAGUCGUGUUUAUUAUGAAUAUAACGAUGCAUGUUUCUUUGCAUUGAGGAUUUAAUUGAUACAUCCCAUCUUUGCCGGCAAGGGUUAUGGGAUGACAAUUGGCGGUUGAAAGUUCCUCCAAAAAUUAAGAAUUUACUUUGGCGUGUGUGUAGAGGAUGACCCUAGGAUAACGGAGUGCAUUGUCCCACAAAUUGUGUCACUUGUGAAGACUCUUCCGAAGAUCUUAUUCAUGUAUUUUUCGAUUGCUCUUUUGCUAUGCAGGUUUAGCAUAGAAGUGGAAUGGGGGAUGUGAUACAUAACGUGCGCCCUCGUACAACUACAGUAGUCGAGACAAUAUUAACAAUGUUUUGCUGCUCUUUUAUAGAUCCUACAGAAGCAUAUAAAUCUCAAGUUAUGUCAAGAUGUCACAUAAACAGUUACACAUGUUAUUGAUCGAGCUUUUCUUUUGAUCGAGCUUACUACAGAUGCCUUCAACCAACACUGUGUCAAUGUCACGAAAUUUGGUCAAGUACUCUCUGCAUGUAGAGGUUUCUUUACAACAAAUUUUACUGAUUAUAAGGUCGAGUUCAAUUGACGACAAGAAAAUGAGUUAGCUCACAACCUAACGGGGGUUGCCACAUUAUCAGCUAGUCUCAUUAUUUAUAUCAAUGUACAUUGUUAUAUUGAACAGAUUAUUAUUAAUGAAAUGUAAUAAGCAUCUCUCGUUAAAAAAAAUGUUAGAAGUGGUUAUGAUUAAAUUCAAAAGUUUUUAUAAUUUGACUGUUAUGAUAGAUUGACCAAGCAAAAAUCUUAACAAAUAUUACUUUAUUUAAUUUCUUAUUUCUGAUAGAAUUUCAUUAAUUUCUAUUAGUGUGGGAGGUAACAGUUGGGUUAGGCCAGACAUUGGUAUGAUAAGUUAGAUCAAAUUUAAAAACAUUAAAACAUGAAUUUGAAGGCAAGAAAAACACAAGAAGGGGGUUUGAUUGUGUUGGUUUUUUUUUUAAACUUUUUUUAAGUGUUUGUAAAAACUAUUCAAAGUCUGAAACAAAGCAGAGUUUGUUCAGAAUCUGAAACAAAGUUUGAAUGCAACGGUAUGAAAUCAAACACACAAACACACAUAGCGAGAGAGAAAGAAGGAGAGAGAGAGAGAGAGAUGGAUAUAUAUAUAUAUAUAUAUAGGGGUUUGCUACAAUAGACCCACUUCAUUUUAUGAAUGUCUAUUUUAGCAAGCAAUACCUUUUCACUUGGACACAAAGACCCCUAUUUUUAUUUUUUGGGCAAAUUAAAUCUAAAAGCACGCAUGUAAUUUCCGUUUAAAAGGUUAGAUUUUCUUUUACGAGAAACUCUUUAUGUCCCUUUGAUUCUCUUUCUUUCUUCCUUCUCCAUUCCCUUCUUUUUUUCUUGAGUUUGCGACUCAUCAUGCUCCAUGGAUUUACGUCGUGUUUCAUCCAAAUGCACGAACUCCUGAGACCAAAAACUCUUGCACUACAUCCAAAUGUUCAUCCCUUCCUAUGGCAGCUCUAGUAAGCUAAUCAGAAAUAUGAAAACUAAGCAUCAUAGAAGAAUGGGAAACAAAUUGGAGCUGGUGACGUGGCUGGAAUUAUCUUUGGUGUUGCUUUUGUUGUUCUUUUAGUUGUUGGAGUCUAUUAUGUUAAGGUCAUUCGUCAAGUUAACAUGAAUAGAACCAUUAAUAAUGCUCAAUCUCAUGCUUAAUAUGUAUUGAAGUAAUAUCUCACUUUCUUAUUUCUUAUAUUGUAAAUCAUAUGCAACAAAUCUUGUAUUGAAGAAAAGGUAUUCUCCUUUCUACUGUGCCUCCAUUUAUCUAUGUCACAAUCAAUUGAAUCCAAAUCCAAUAAAACUAAAACUCACUUCCACUCAAGUUUUUGAGCUAUUAGCGAGGUGGUGGAGGAGCAAGUUUUGAGCUAUUAGAACUGAAACAUCCCAUGGUGGUGUUGGCGUUGGAAAUGGAACUCAGGGAAAGUGGUGAGAGAAGGGAAGAGAGAAGGAAGAAAGAAAGAGAACGGGAGGUACAUGAAGAGUGUAUGUGAAAAAAUAAAUAAAAAAUCCAACAUUUAAACAAAAAUUACAUUUGUGUCCUUUAGAUUUAAUUUACCCAAAAAACAAAAAUAAGGGUUUUUGUGUCCAAGUGUAAAGGUGUAGCUUGCUAAAAUAGACCUUCAUAAACUGAAGUGCGUCUAUUGUAGCCAUAGUUUUAAAACUCGGCUCGGUCAUCGACUCGGCGGGGAUACUGGGUCAAUGGGUCAAUGGUCGAACCACUGAAUCAUUGGUCGAACCGCAUGACUGAAUCGGAACCACUCGGAUGACUCGGUUAGAUAACUCGGUCCUUAGAAUAAAUUUAUAUAGUUAUUUAACCGGAUUGAAUCGGUGAGUCGGUCACUUUAGAAACUAAAAUAAUUAAUGAGUGUUGUAAUUUAAAAAAGGUUUACAUUUAAGGACAAAAAUAAAAUCAAAUGGGUGUUUAAAUAUAUGGACGAAGAGAGUAAUACAUAUUCAAAUAAAUAUAGUAAAAUAAAAAAAUUCUUUCNGUUCAGGAAUUUUUCUAUGAUCAAGUCCCAAAUGAACUAAGAAGCAUGGGACUUGCACUCUAUUUGAGUAUUAUUGGUGUUGGAAGCUUUCUAAGUGGCUUUCUCAUUUCAUUGAUAGAACAUUUUACUGGCAAAGAUGGUCAU